rnacentral:rRNA from 1 species
GACUACGGCCAUGCCACCCUGAACACGCCCGAUCCCGUCUGAUCUCGGAAGCUAAGCAGGGUUGGGUCUGGUUAGUACUUGGAUGGGAGACCAUCUAGGAAGACCAGGUGCUGUAGGCC